rnacentral:rRNA from 1 species
UACGUAGGGUGCGAGCGUUGUCCGGAAUUACUGGGCGUAAAGAGCUCGUAGGCGGUUUGUCGCGUUGUUCGUGAAAACUCACAGCUUAACUGUGGGCGUGCGGGCGAUACGGGCAGACUGGAGUACUGCAGGGGAGACUGGAAUUCCUGGUGUAGCGGUGGAAUGCGCAGAUAUCAGGAGGAACACCGGUGGCGAAGGCGGGUCUCUGGGCAGUAACUGACGCUGAGGAGCGAAAGCGUGGGGAGCGGACAGG